rnacentral:lncRNA from 1 species
GGGUACAUUGCUAGGCUUGCCCAUAACCGAGGGCGCGGCUAUUCGAAUAGAUUAUACUCUGAUCAGAGGUGUACAUCUUUACCCACAAGACACAUCUUCCUCACGUGUAAUGUCACAUCGUGAUUUUUGUUUCAGGAUUUAUAAAUUAUUUAAUAAAUUAAUAAUAGAAUUUAUAAUAGAAUGAUCUUUAAUUUACAAGUGAAGUUAAAUGUGGGAAAUAAAAUUUCCUAAAUAUAAAGCAUGGAUGGAUUUAAUUUUUAUUAAAUUCUCCAUGAUUAAGUCAACUCUCUGAAAUUUUCUCGGAUUUUUCAGAGCUCGAUUCCUAAAUGAUACAAAGAACAGUUCAGUAAUUAUUUGAUCAUUAAUGAUCUAAUUAUAAUUGUUAAGAGCUUUUCUUGUUUAAAAAUCCUUAAAUUAUAAAUUGUUGUUUAAAAGGAAUUAUUAGAAAUGAUUUUAAAAGCUUAAAAGAGAAGAUCUAAUUUUAAUUUCUUAAAUCUCAAUAUAAAAUUGGGCUAGAUAAAAUUUUAUUAAAUACUUUGCUUAAUUCUAUAAUUCCUAGAUUUUUCUGGGAUUUAUUUGAGCUAAGGAAGUAUUUUUAAUAAAUGGAAUUGCAUUUCAUGAAUAAUUUAAAUAGAAAAAGGUUUUUAAAAGUCUUCUUUUGGCUUUGGGCCGAAAGCCGGCCCAAAACCCUCUCUCUUUCUCUCUCCCCGGCCCAAGUCGGCCCAGUCCGCCGAGCCGCCGCUCUCUUCUCUCUCUCAGUCGCUGACAGGUGGGUCCCACUUGUCAGGCCUGUCGUCAACCUCGCGCCGUCGCCCGGCCGAAACCCUAGCCGAGCCGCGCCGCCGCCGCUUUCCAAUCCGCUCGAUCCUUUCCCGAUCCGGUGAAAUCAAUAGAGGGGAAAUGAUCUUCUCGAUCUCCUCUACCUUUUCUCUUUUGGAAUCAUCACCUAAUUCGGUUUGGAAAUUCGUGGAUUCGAGGUCGAAUUGGAUCGGUCUCUUUCCUCCAAACCCCGUUCUUUCCUUCCCGCCGCCGGUCGCCGUGGGCCUUCGCCGCCGUCUUCCAACCCCUUUAAAAGGAUCCCUGAGCUCUCCUCUACCCGCCGCCACCCUCGCCUUCGCCUCUCGUCGCCGGUAGCGCCCUAGCGCCGUGUGACUUUGAGCCGCCGUCGUCGCCGUCGCUCCAGCCGUGCGCCGUCGCCGUUUCGGUCGUCGUCGUCGCUCGGGGAGGUCGCCAUCGUGGUCGCCAAGUCGCCGCCGUCCUCGUCCGCCUUUUCGCCGCCGCCGAAGACCGCCGGAGCACCGUCGCCGCCGUCGACCCGAUCUUCGUCGCCGCUUCGACCUCAUCGCCGACGUCGUCCGUUGCUCCUCCGCCGUUGCUUUGGUCACCGGUGAGUUCGCCGUGCCGUCCGCUACCCGUUGGUGUCCUCCGUUUGCGUCGUCGCGCCGUCGUUCGCCGGCGAGCUUGCGCCGCCCGAGCCGCCGCCGGUGCUGACGUCAUCGCUGACGUCAUCGUUGCCGUUUCCCGUGAGCCGGUCGUGGACCGUUCGAUCUCGGCCACCCGUUUUGGAUCAAGUCGAUCUCGGCCGUCCGUUCCCGUGAACCGUUGCCGUGCACCCGGUCCACCGCAAACCCUAGCCGCUGACGCAAUAAUCCUCCUUUUCCUUUUCAAAAAUAAUUCAUUAUUGCGUCAUAAUUCAAUUAAAAUCCAUAUAAGUGUUUUAAUCCGAUUUAAUCUUUAAAAAUUCAUAACUAAUUCAUUGUAACUCAGUUUAAUGUGGUUCAAGUUGCAAAAGUUGUAUAAAAUAAAGAUCUACAUAUUAAAAUUGUCCAUAAAUUGAAUUAAAUUUAUUUAAUUCUUUUUAAAUGGGCUUUAAUUAGAUUUAAUCUUGUAAAAUUCAUAAUAAAUUCAUAUGAAGUCAGAAUGAGGCCGUUCAAGUCUCAUAAUUCAUCUAAAAUUAUGAUCUACAUGUUUGCUUACUUUUUAUGUACUGUUUAUUUGGUUUUUAUUAGUCUUUUUCUUCGUUUUGCGUGUUAGCUUGUCGUUUCCGUCGUUGCGAAGGUUCGUGAGUGCGUCGGGAGUGUUCAGAAGAUUAAUUGAAGACCGAUUAUUGCAAGGCAAGUCACACAGAUCCUAAACACAAUCCUUUGAGCAUGUUGAUCCUAUAUUUAUAUUCUCUAUUUAUUUCAACUGUGCAUUUACUUUCGAAUGUCACUGGGUGGUGUGAAUCUAUUCCUUUAUUAUGGCCUGUUUGCAUUGAUUACUUUAUUCCUUGAUACCUUGGGUUAUCAUAACUUGACUAGUUGAGCUUUAUAUAUUGGUUCAGCUAGAUAUUAAAUAUGAUUGCUUAGCCAUGCUUAGAAACAUUAGCACACUAUUGGGAUAACUUAUGACUCACUAUUAUUUAAUGAUGGCUUAAUGAUAGUUCACGAUGGUCAAUCGUGAUUGGUUAAUUAAUUACUUGCCAACUAAAACUUGAUAAUGGUGGGUUGUGAGCACAUGGUUUUGAGAGUCGUGCUCAUGGCAAUUAAGGACCGGUUCGCGAGCUACUGUUGUGAAACAUUAACCGUGCCAACCACAAGCCAGCGUGGGCAACGGCUUUACCUUUUGUAUAACAUGAUUCAUUGCGGAGCACCAGACUGAGAAGUGGCGGAGAUAAGCCCACGGGGGUCGCUGGGGAGUCCAUGCCUUGUUUUAUAAGGGGGUGAUUAUGAUCCAGGAAUGGUGCACUGUGGUGAGUUGUGUUGUGCAAAGGGUAUUGUCACAGCCUCUAUUCGGAUACUUUCCAGUAUCGCGACGCAUGGUAGACAUGAUGUUGAGGCUGUGUCUUGUGGGUAUAGUGGUACACCUCUGGCCAGAGUAAAACUAUUCGAAUAGCCGUGCCCGCGGUUAUGGGCGGGUUGAGCAAUGUUUUUCGUGAUUAGUCUCACACCUCUCACAAUAAUUAUGGAUGUUAUACCGGGUAAUAAUUUGCUUAGCUCCUGGUUUGGAGUUAGAUCUGUUCAGCCGGGUAUGGUUGUUCAGGAUGGUUGGGCCUGUGCAGCAUGGGUGUGCUGUUCAGUGUUGAUUAAAAUUCCUGAUUAAUUACUCCAAUGUUUUACUUCUCUUAAAUGUUUUGCUAAAUGCUGCUUUUGCAAAUAAGCCUAUAUUAUGCCAUCCUUUGGUAUCCUUGUGCACUUGCAUAUUUGCUGUGUGGCUUGUUGAGUAUAUCAUAUGCUCAUUCUUGCAAUAAUCAAUCAACCUCAGUUGAAGAAAAAGGAUCCAGAAGGAGAAGACGUUUGGCUUAUACCCCAGUUGAGCUGCCUGUGGGAGUGGAGCCAGAGCUUCGCUAGAUUUUAUUUUCCGCUGCAGUUUUCUUCAUGAUGAGGACUAAGUGCCUCAUAAGUAAGUAUUUAUCGUUUUAGUUAAUUUGAUGAAUCUGUAUAUUAAAUUGUCAGUUUGUGUACCUCGGCUAAUUCCUGGACGAGGAUUUUAUGCACAAAUAAGUUCGGAAAUUACUAGUGAAUUUCCGGGCGUGACAUGUAACCACGUGCCACAUACCACCACGGUAUACGGACGGAAGACGUGACAUAAUUCCCAACCCAUCCUAGCCAUAAACAAGAGUACCGACCCAACCCCACCUACGGCCGGAACCCCCGGGACAGGUAGGCAGGACUGAGCCCCUAGCAGCAGGACACCGGCCCUGUGCCCUGACAUCUCGACUACCGGGCCGCAGCUCGUGUAGCCUUCAUUUGCCCUAGAGAUGUCCAUCGACCCCCGACUUCGUCCAUCUCCAUCCGUGUACUUUUGUUUAUAACCAGACUGAGCCACAAACUAAGCUUUACCCACUAGACAUGUGGAAGUACGGUAGUGCUUUGCAACAGAGGCCCGAGCUUAAUCCUUAUAGUACCCGAGGUACGACUAACAAAACCCAACCAUGCACCUCGAGCCCAGUCUAAAACCAUUUUGGGGGUUUUGAAUAGAGGGGGAGGUGUGUGUCCAAUUCCAACAUAAGCCAACCAUUCCAUAGUGUCUAGGUGAUAUGAAUAUUCCCAAAGUCUAGAGUUGUAAAACCACCUAAUGUUGCCUAAUUAACCAGCGAAGCAUCUACCUAAAAUCAUACUAGUGGUACCAUGAGUAGAGUGUCCACUAGUUGGUGUUUUGUUUAUUCUAGGGUGAACAAGGUAAUAAUAACAAUAACAAUAAUAAGGUCAUAACAAAGGUACAUAGGCAUGGCUAGAUAAAACAGUGAUAACGCGUGAAUUUAAAUAAAGCGAUAAUGCAAUAAUUUAAAUCAAAAUAAUUUUAUAAACUAGGAUUCAAUAUGUUCAAGGAUGAUGUGACUUGCCUUGCUCACUUUCCCAAACGUCGGCUUCAACCUCCACGAAGAGCGGAUCUUCCGAAGCUGCAACGUCUACACGACCAACGGAAAAGAAAAGGCUUUUACUCUAAUAAACUCCAUAUAACAAGCAGGAGCAAAGCACAAAAAUGGGUUCUUGACUUCUUAAGGAAAAAUUAGAGACUUGAACGGUCCAAUUCCGAGUUCAAAUGGCCAAGUUAUGGCCAUUUGAAGUUUAUAUGCUCUUUAAAUGAAUAUUUGCGAAUUUCUUCAUUUAAAUUUUAAUUUAAAAAGGGUUUAUUGCGUCAGCCGAGGGGAGGGGGCGCGCGGACCGGGUCCACGGGAGUGGGGCCCACGCGGCAGCCUCACGGUCCACGGUGGACCGGGCGAACCCGGGCUCGCACCGGCCGGCGCCGUGGGCCCCACGCGUCAGCCGCACCCGAGGGCGCGGGCGGCUGACUGCCGGGCCCCACGCGGCAGCCACUCGGCGCGCCCGAGGGCGGCCACGCCGGCGCGGUCGGCGGGAGGCGGCUCACCUACGCCCCGAUGGUCGCCGCCGGCGACCACCGGCGCGGCGGAGCGGCGGCCGAGAGAGGGGAGGGAAGGGGGAAAGGAGGCGACGGUCCACGGCUCACCCCGGGGCGACGGCGUCGACGGAGGAGGCGGCCGGAGCGGAGGGAGGCGGCGGCGCGGUUCGGGUCGACGGGGUCGGCGGCGUUCCGGCGGUCGGCGGACUCGGCGAGGGGGUGGACGGGGUCGACGGCGGUGCGGCGAAGCCAGAGGAGGCGACGCCGGGGCGGGAGGCGGUCCGGGGCGACAACGGCGGCGGACCGGAGCUCGGCGGCGAAGGCGGAGAGAGAGAGCAACGUCGCAAGCUCGAAUCCGGCGAGGAGGAAGGGCGGCGAGAGGCGGAAACGGACGGAGGAGGCGCGGAGAGGGUUUAUAUAGGGUUGGAAGGGGGAGAGAGCGGUCGGAGGGGAAGGAAACCGGCGAGGGAGGUCCGGCCGCCAUCAAUGGCGCCGGCGAGAUUUGCAGGGGCAAAUCCGCCCGUUUGAACGCGAGAGAGAGAGGGAAAAAUGGGGGGAAAGGGAGAGGGGAUCACGGGGAGUGAUUCCCCCCACUUUAUUGCACGCGGGGACGGCGGGAGGCGGCGGGAUUCGCGGCGGCGGCGGCGCUAGGGCGCGGGGGAGGCGGCGGGAGCGGCGGGAGGAAGGGGAUGACGGGUGGGCCCCACCCGUCAGCGAGGGUGGCGGGCGGGCCCGCCCGUCAGCGGCGCGCGCGUGGGGAGAGGCCGAGUGGGCCGUGGGGAGAGGAGAGAGAGGGGGAGGGAGAUGGGCCGAGGGGGAAGGAGGGAGGGCGGCCCAAGAGAGAGAGAGGGAAGGAAAAAGAGAGGGAGGAGGGAAGGACUUUGGCCGCAGGCCGAGAGAGAGAGGAAGGCUUUGGGCCAGACUUGGCCCAAAGGGAGGAGGGGGAUUAUUUUUAGCUUUUUCUUUUUAAAUAAACUUUGAUCAAGGUUGUUGUUGCUUAAUAAAUAAUUCCCAUGCUCUGAAAAUUCAAGUAAAAUUUGAGGGCUCCUUUUAGACCAAGGAGAAUUUAACAAAAAUUUUCCGGACCACAUUCGAAUUUUUCUUGUACGUAUUUUAGUGUUUGCUAAUUUCUUUUCAAAUUUUAAUUAAUUCUAUUAUUCCUUUUAGGGAAUGAUUUUUAUUUCGGAAUGAAUUUAUGAGGACGUGACACUAAACAUCUAGAUCAAUGCUCUACCUCCACAUGCACCGUCACCCGAGAACCACCGCCGCUCGCACUGCCGUCGCCAUUAAUUCCGAUGACCAAUGCUUGCAAGAAUACCACCUAUAGCCUUGCCUUGAACCCCUUUACAUUUUAUCCUUAGGUUGCACGCCGAGAUCUGCCGCCGUUUGCCACCGGCGAGCUCGAGAACGAGCUCGGGCAUGGCUAGCUCUGUGUCAGCUCAAUCCAACGACCUCUGUUGAGAAGAAUCAAAACUCUAGGUACUAGUUUGUAAAACCUACCUCACACACAGAACAGUCACAGGACUGCGGGAUGAUUUCCUGAAACACUAGGGGCCACUUUUGCAUAUUGGCCUGAGACUGACCUGUGGACCCAAUCUAUUUAAAUUCUGGAAAAAUCUAAAUGAAAUGCCUAAAGCUUUAUAUUUUCAUCAGAAAAACAUGUAAACUUGUAAAAUCCUUAACAAAUUGAAAACAACUCGUUUUACAGUAAUACAAAUUACUGUUAACUCAUCGAAUCAUGAACUUUAGUGUUAUUGCAUAAAAACUUGCACUCACAGUACAAAUGUAGCCUCUAAAAUUGGUCUAAGAUAAAUCAUACAUAAAGCAUAUACAAACUUAUAAAAUGCAUACAAAAUUCAUUUCAACUCAUUUUAGAGCAAACUUAGUUUCUACAGAUCUACCAACAUGUUCUCUAAAAACAAAGUAAAAUAAAACAUAUACAUACUUUACAUCAAAUGCCUCUAAAAAUUAUCUUUAAAAUAACUAGUUUUGCAUAAGCUGAACUUUAGAAGUUUAUAUAAAAUUCAUCUUAUAUCCUUUUUGAGUAAACUCAAGUUCUGUAGAAUCAUAGAGUUGUGCACUUCAAUGUUAUAAAAUAAAAAGACAUACUUACAGUAUAAUAAAAACCCCUAAGCAUUUAUCUAAGGAAUAAGCAACAUGGAGCAUACCUUAAAUUGUAAAAUUUGUAGAAAAUUCAUCUUUAGUCUAAAUGAAGUGAACCAAAUUUCUAUAGAACCAGCAAGUAAUAUACUUCAACCUAGUAGAGUGAAUUAUAGCACCCUCUGUACAGACCAUAACUCUAAACCUUAAUUUGGUACAAUAGGUACUAAACACAUAAUAGUGGUUAAACAAUACAUAUGAAUAAGUAUAUAUAUGCAUGGUAGCUCCAAAUAAAUCCAAAUAAAACUUGUUAGGACCAGUGGAGCCAUAGUUCCAUCCCCAUCUACCAAAACUUAGAUGAACUUAGCUCAUGCAACAAUCUUUAGGUUGAUAAGUUAAGUAAUUAACAUAGAACAUCCCUAUUUAUAAAAUGUGUAGUAAAAUAAUAUAAACUCUAAAAUUAUGAACUAAGAUUAUAUUAUUUAACUAAAAUACUCAUUUUAUACAACACUAGCAAGUUAGAGCAAGUUCUGGACCUAAAUCUCCAAAGCCAUGUGCACAUAGAGACUUUAUGCCUAUAUGCCUAGAACACGUUAAAACUUGUAAAAUACAUAAAGAAUUCAUAUUAACUCUAAAAAUUAUGAAACCAAAUGUGUUAGUCUUAGAAAACACAUACCUUCACCUCAGCAAACAUAAACAUAAUAAGAAUCACCUUACAACAGCAUAUCACAAUAGUACAUAAGUAAAUACUACCCUAUACCGAGCAAACUUCUAAAAUUCAUAACUCUCAAAUAAAAAGAGAUAAAAUAGAAAUUCUUUUACCUAAAUUCAUAUUAGACCAGUACCUAUCCAUUGUGCACUAAUCAAGCAUUUUAGAGCAUUUUGGAUUUUUCGCAUAUUUCGGUGUUUAAUUGCAUAACGUGUACUUUGUAUAGAUGAUUGCUUAAACGGUGAAGAAGUGAAUUAGGUGCUGACAUUUUCCAGUUGCAAGGCAAGUCCAACCUCCCUCUCUUUGAUCACUUUGAACCUAUGUUUUGGAGGUUAUUGAAAAUGUUUGCAAAUCUUGCAUGUCGAUUGUACACUAAUAAAUUAAAAUUUUGUUAAACUUGUUAGACAAAUUCCUAUUAUUUGCAUUAUUAACUUAACCCCACAUAUAUCCAUAUCCCUCAUUCCUAACCUUAGGAAUCAUAUCGUAAUACUACUUGGAAUAUGAGUUACAUUGUCACUAGUUUACUAUAUUGCUUAGCCAUGCUUAGAAUUGUUUUACUUAUCACUUGGGCUCAUAUUAACAUGAAAAAUGAUUUUAUUAAGAUUCUGGACAGAGAUGAAUAAAUGAAGUAUUUGACAAAUAAAAUGAUGGAAAACAUGGAUUUUAGGUUUGGGCCUCAUGUGGUACACAUAAGGUGAUUAGUUGUGUACCGAUAGGGGGAGUGUGAUCCCAAACUGACCUAAGGACUUCACUCAAUGUCAGUUCAUUUCGUAUACAGUACAACCACAUGUGCUAGUAUGGGAUAGCCCAAGCUUAGUAAAUUAUUUAUGGUUUAGCCUUACAUUCUGGUAGGCCCGUGUGUAUGAGUUCGUAUAAUUCAGAGGAGCUUCCUAUUUACCCCGACGUGGUAGUUUAGGUGACUAAGCGUGUCCAAUACAAUGUUAUUGUGCCACGUGGCGGGUUCCCGUUGUGUCCGCCACCACAGUGUUAAGUUUAAGGCGUGGGCCCGCGACUUAACGGUUCUAGGUCAUAUAUCGAGUAUGGCUUAGGAUGGAGUAACACAUAUCAUGCUGGUGUAAGGCUAAAUCAUGAAUUUUGGAAAAGUUUUGUUGUGGGUAAUAAAUCAGGUACUUAUGUAUCGCGUGCCAUGCUCUUGCAUGAUUAUUAUUUCGCAUCAUGUGGGUAAAGUGUACAAACUCUGCAGAGUAAAAACUAAUCGAUUAACCGUGCUCGCGGUCAUGAGCGGUGUGUGGAUAUCUAUUGUGUAUAGACUUGUGUUUAUUCUUCUAAAUGCUGAAAUUUACCUUCAAAUUGUGAUGAGAUUUGAGAAUGAUCUCCUUGCUGCCAUGGAUGGCAAUGAGGUGCAUAUUUACACAUGAUUAAUAUCUACUUUGAUGCCCAUAUGCUAAAAUACUAGCUUGCUGAAAUUUAUUUGAAAGCAAAUCUGAUUUGAAAUUGUUUUAUGCAAAUAAAACUUGCUUUAUGCUAAAAAGAACCAUAUUAUGCCUUCCUUGAUUAUAUGCCUUGCAAGUAGAGUGUUAGGUUUGUCUUGGUGCUUGCCAGUACAUUAUUUCUAAUAAUGUGCUGACUCUUGUUGUUGAAUUAACCUUUUGCUUGCAGGUUUUAGAUUUAGUCUUUGAGUGAUGCGGGUAUUCGACUGCUUCUUCUAGGGCUUGAACUUAAUGGGGGUAAACCCCUAGUCGGUUUGCUUCUGGAUUGGGUAGACAAGCUUCCACUGUUCUAUUAUUUAUUUGGCCGGUCGGCCAAUGUAACUAAAGUAGAUGUAGUUUAUAAUCGCUUUCAUCUUAUUUGUGUUUGCUAUGUAUAACCAUGCUUGAGAUGAAAGUGUGAAUCUAGUGCACAUCCUAGGAACUAGAUUCACAUGAGUAUGAGUUAAGAAUAUUUGAGAUGUUGUAGAUCUUUAGCCAUUUUUGUCAAGUCUCCUAAAUGUGUAAUACAUCUGGUCGCCGCCUUCGAGUGGUUUGACUGGCACAUCUCAGGCUGAAGUUGACUGACAGGCUAAAGGCCCAGCAAUGUCUCCAAUAUUCCUCUCUCAAGGCGUUGGAUAUUUCAUUAUGCUUGUUUGAUGACUUGAAUUAUUCAUUUCAUCUCUUAAUUAUAAUAGAAGGUCCAGAGAGCCUACGACACUAAUAUAGUUAUAAUUGUAAUUAUUGCAGAGAUAUGGACAUGCUCUAAUGGAUGUAUCAUUCGCCGAGGUAUUUGCCGCCAUAUAUGAAGAAGUAUCUAAAUUUAUUGAUAUUGUUAAGGCGCAUGCUGAGAAAAACAAUAAGAGGUGGAUAUAUUGUCCAUGUGCUAGAUGUAAGAAUGAAAUGUUAUGGGCAUAUCUUACAACAGUAAUGGAGCACUUAGUGAGUCGUGGAUUUAUGGAUAACUACGUUAUAUGGACACAUCAUGGCGAACAUGACGAAGAUCGACCCAAUGAAAAAAAAAAGAUUGGCCGGAUGUUGAAGACAUGGAUUACACGGAUGGUUGUGGUGAAGACAAUAUUGAUCUAGAGAAAAUGGUAUGCCAUGCAGAUCUGGAGGUGCUAGUUGGGUCGGCUAGAGGUUUAGAUAAUUUUAAAGCUUUGAAGAAGGCAGCGAAGGAUGUUUUGAAUGAUAAGUCAAAGGGCCGUGAUAGUGAGUUCCUAAUAUUAUGGUAAGUUCUUGAACUUAUGAGGUUGAAGGUGAUAUUUGGAUGGUUUGAUAGUAGCUUCGACAGUCUUCUUAAACAUUUGAAGAUCAUGCUUCCGAACCCUAACUCAUUACCAUCGAACACAUAUUGAGCGAGGAAACUCAUAUGUCCCCUUUCCCUUCGUGUGGAGAACAUUCAUGCGUGUGUGUUGGUAUUUCUUAAACUCACAGAUAAAAUCCGCAAGCGCACGGAAAAUACCAAUGUAUUACUUCACCCGGGAGUAUUCCAAGGUAUCGAUUUCCACAGGGAACGUGUGUGUCGGCUCUUCACCAGGUUCGUCUAAUGACACGAAGCUAAGAUUGGCUAAGGGUAGAGAGGAUUUACUAGUGAGAGACAGUGUCGAAUAUGUGUACGUAGUCGGUUACAGUUUAAGACUUGGAGUUGUGAUAUGUAUUAGGACCAAAGUAUGAGUUGGACUCUAUCCUAUGAUCUCUCAUAAAUAGAGGGGCAUGCCUGUUGUAACCGAAUGGCGACUUAGCAUAGCGACAGGGAGCGGCUACCGGCGGUGUUUGGCCAUGAGUCGUUGUAACUCUGAUACACUGUAUAUGCUGGAUCGGUGAGAAGCGCCCGUAAUCAGUGCCCCGGAGAUGUAGGCUACGGCUGAACUCCGUUACCAAAUAUCGUGUCUCGGUGUCGUCAUCAUGUUUGGAUCUCCUAUGGCGUUUUCUUCCGCGUUUAGUUACCGAUGUCGAUUCCGGGGCUUGUUUUAAACAAGUGGUAUCAGAGCCCAAGGUUUGGAAUCUGGAAUAGUUUCCAUGGGUCACAUGGUGGGGAGGCCAUGUAACAAGUCUUCGGGGUCACAUGGGUUGAUGUGACGGGGGAGAUUGUUGGGCCCGAUGUGUGACGGGUGUUGACGGUCGUUAUCGACCAAUUUCGACCAUCAAUAUUACCCAAUAUAUGAAGACUAACUAUGCUUGGUAUUUCUUAGCGACACUACUGGAAAUAUAAUUCCUAGCAAUAGCACUAAAAAUAAUCCUGGUAUAUUAUGGUUCAGAUGUGAUCCGCAAGCGCACGGAUAUACCAUUGUAGCAUUUCACCUAGGAGUAUUCCAAGGUAUCGUAUUUAUUUUAUCCUAAUGGAAGAUAUAAUAAGAGAGUACUAUGCUAACAAUUCAUAUAUUACUUAUAUACAUCAAAGUCUAUGCAAGGGUUAAUUCAGUUCAAAGGGUAGGUUGACACACAGAAGAAAGAACUAUGAACUACUCUCUCUCUCUAAAUAUAAUCUAGGCUAAGCGGAGAAAGAAUAGGAAAAGUAUCAUUGUUGUACUUCUAGUAUACAUACAUCUUUAGCCUCCUAGUAGACAGUCAUGCAACCAAUACCCCGUACCCAAUGUCCUCCUGGUGUUUCGAGAGACCACCCCUGGUUCCGAGUUCCUUACGAUAACCUGUCAUGGCCAUCCAACCGGGGUUAAAUACGGAGGAGUGCCCUCCCCAGGAAAUUGCACUUAGGAUAAUAUACACAUGCAGAGGAACACCCGUACUGAGCUGUCACCAUCAGCGGCCAGCCUCUGAACCACUGUAUAUUACCCCAAUUAAUGGUAUCUAAUAAUCUAAACACCGCGCUUACAUUACUAGAUACUACUCUACAUCCUUGCAACCGACAUAGAGCAACCGAAUACGAGGACACUAAAACCACACCAAUACACUUAUCUGGAAAGCUAGUUACAUGACUAUAUUGAUUCAAGUAUAAAGUAAAGUCGGUACUCAAAUAAUAUGAAUGGAAUAAAAUACCGAAAAUGUAUAAAGAAGAAUAUUCUAUUAAUUCAAUAAGUCUUACAAAAGAAGAGAGGAAAGCUACUAGAGCCAUACCCAAAAUAUCCUAAAGACUUGAGGACUAUGAAGACUAUUCUAUUUCCUACUCCACUAGCACUAGAACUACUAAACUAAACUUGAGAGAGCUCUUGAUCUUCUUCUUGAGGUGUGUGUGAGAAUGAAUGAGAGGAGGGGUAUUUAUAGGCCAUGAGGUGCCUUGGGAGUGUGGAGAUGCUCCAAGCAUUCUAGGAGCAUCUUUGCUCUCCUCAUGACAAGUGGCAUGAUGAAGCAUUCAAAGAGCAUCUUUCACCCUCCGUGUGCCAUGUGUCCAUGCUUAUGACGGUUUCCACCGGUAGAAACGGCCACAACCGUCAUUAGGAAACAGUUACUACCGACCUCGGCUUGGGCCUGGGCUGAUUGGGCUUAGCCAUGAUUUGGCCGAACCCUGGUCAGCUCCCCUAACGCUCAUUUUUUUCUGCUAGACUGACAGGUGGGUCCCUCUGACGGUGACAUCCAUUUUGGGCCAAAUUCAGAUAUAUAUAAAUUGGACCUUUGGGCCUCCUAAUGGAUUUGUAGGUUACUGGCAGACUUUCGACCGAUUGAUCGAUAUGUUUCCACCGUCUUUCACUUUACUUUGGUAGCUUCUCCUGCAUUGGUUAGUUUGCCAAGCACAUAGUGGAAUAGAAUAUUUUAUUUGCGAAAUAAUGCGCCGUUGCUAGGGAAGAUAAAUGAUUAAGAGUUUACUACAUGCUAAUAAUUUUAUAUAUUACCUCUAUAUGAUCACUGUCCUUUGUUGGCAACCGUUGUUUGUUUUCUCUUUUAUUUGAGAACAGGGUAGUGCAUGAUUGGUUUGGAUUUGCUGAUCAAUUUCAAAGAGAAUCCAAAAUCACUCCUGAGAAGAGCCAGACCUAGAGUCAUCUCUCCUCAAGUGACUUUAUCAGCAACCGGAUCAGCAUACCAGCAUCAUCAACACUUAACAAUACAGCUGAGAAGACACUUCGCGAGUUCGCUGAUCUCUCCACUGGCAAAGUGCCCGUUGGACCCCGAGUCGGCAUGGAGAUGGUGACUUUUUAUCUGAAAACCAGCCUAACCAACAUAGCGCAGGCUAGCCGUUCUGUGGCAAGCCUAAUGAGGAUGCAAGUGCUCAUAUGCACAAAUUCCUGGAUAUCUGUAGCACGGAGUCAGUCUAGAUACUAUGAGGCUCUGACUGUUUCCGUUUUCCCUCCUCGGAAGAGCAAAACAGUGGUUCUACGCCAACCGUGCAAUGGUGAAUACCCGGAAUAAGUGCUCAACGGUAUUCCUCUCAAAAUUCUUUCCGAUGGGCAAGACCAACGCUCUUCGUGGGAGAAUAUCCAUCUUUCAGCAGACGAGGGAUGAAACCAUUCCUGAAGCUUGGGAAAGGCUGCAGGAGUACGUCACCACCCGUCCUCAUCAUGGGACGGACGAGUGGCUCAUCCUACAGAAUUUCUUCAACGGAUUAAUCCUCUCGUCCCAGGAUCACCUGGGCGCUGCUGCUGGAGGAGCACUCUUCUCAAAGACGGUCAGAGAUACCAAUGGCUUGAUUGAGAAGAUGGUCUCAAAUAUGGGUUAGAGCGAGGAACGACUCCAAACCCGUCAACGCGGCAUGCACACCAUCAGAGAUACCAUGCCUAUGCAGUUUGAUAACUACUUUAAUAUUAGCUAAACACUAAAGAAACCACUAUAUAUUGUUUGUCACCACUACACCCACCUCAAUCCUACUUUGGGAUAUGUUGGUAUUUCAUAACAUUACUAGAAAUAUAAUUCCCAGCAAUGGCGCAAAAAUACUCCUGGUAUAUUAUGGUUACAUAGUUCAUCCGCAAGUGCACGGAUAUACCAUUGUAGCAUUUCACCCGAGAGUAUUCGAAGGGUAUCGUAUUUAUUUAAUCCCGUGGAAAGAUCAUAGUAGAGAGAACCAUUCUAAUAAUUUAUAUGUUACUUUUUUUUAACGGUUAAACAGCAGGAGAGGCUCCUACUGUGAUAUAUUAAAAUAAAAUAUGUGCAGGAGAGAGAUAGUAAGGGGGAAAUAAAAACAGCAGAAAGAGAAAGAAGAUUUUUAGCUAAUAGAUUGUAUCCAUGAUUGCCAACUUGGUUUGAUUAAAGUCUUUACUCUAUGCACAUGCCAAGUAAAUUCCUCUUGAAACUGAUGGGUACUCCGUUGAAUAUGAGAUCAUUUCUUCUAGCCCAUAAGUUCCAACAUCCAAUUCUAAGAAUUUCCAUAAAAAAGGGGUGUGGAAAUUGUCGUUGUGCUGUCAUUAUCAUGCUCAUGAAUUCCAUAUUCAGGUUCCAUGUUAUACCAAGAUGGUUCCAACAUUGCUGAGCAAAAUGGCAGGAGAAAAACAAAUGGGUGUAGUCUUCUGUGGUUGCCGAAUUGCAGAUAUUGCAUAUGGUUCCCCUUUGAGUGUUAAAUCGCUUUCUUUGUAAGAGUUCUUUCGUAUUUAGUCGAUCCAUCAGAAGUAACCACAGGAAAACCUUUAUCUUCAUAGUGUAUUUACUUUUCCAAACAAGGGUAAGAGGGAUAUCUGGCUGAAUAUGAGCAAAAAAGAGGUCAUACAGUCGUUUGGGUUGGUAUAUGUUUGGAGACCAUAUGUAAUUCCAUUGAUCAGCUUCUUCAGAUGGAUUAGCAAGGGCGAUGUGAUUUGUUAACUCAUGCCAUUGACUAAUAGCUUGCUCUGGGAUAGGGAUGUGGAAAAGUUGUUCAAUAUUGCUUGAUGAGAGGUUGAAAUUCCUGAAAGAUAUGUCCUCCUGUCUUGGAUAAGAAAAAAAUGAGACUGAGAGUGUCUUGCAGAAUUUGACCAUUCCAAUUGUCUUUCCAUACAAGGGUUGUGUUUCCAAUCCAAUAGCUACAGUUGUGAUUGCUCUGAAAAUAGGGAUGAGCCUAAAAAUGUCCUUCCACCAAAAUGACCCUUUUUCCUUAUGUUAAUGGGGUGGUUUGUCUGAGUCAGCGUAAUAUUUGUUCCGAAUUAACUUUACCCAUGGUAGAUCUUUGCAAUUAAAAAAUCUGUCAAGAUGUUUGAUGAGGAGAGCAAUAUUCUGCACUUCUAAAUUCAGAAUUCCCAACCCACCCUUAUUUUUAGGCUUACAUACCAGAUCCCAGGCUGCCAGUGUCAUCUUGCUCUGUCAAUAUGCUGAAUGAUCUUUUUUGGGAGUUUUAGGGUGCACAUAUAGUAGGUUGGGAGAGCUGACAAUACUGAGUUGACCAAAGUCAAUCUUUGUCCCUGAUUGAGAUAUACUGAAGUGGAUGGUAAUCUUCUUUCGAUUCUGUCUACUAAAGGUGCAAAAUCAAUGAUUCUUGGCUUGUUAAUGCCCAUUGGUAAUCCCAGAUAUGUAAAAGGCAUUGAGCCUACAGAGCAUCCAAAGGUGCCAGGUAGAAUUUCCAUAUUAUUCCCAUCCACAUUUAUGGGCAGCAUACAUGACUUGUGAUAGUUUAUCCUGAGGCCUAUGCAGACAGAGAAGGAUUGAAGAAGAGCUUUGAGACAUAAAACUUCUCUUCGUUUGGCAGGCAUGAUUAUCAAGGUGUCGUCGGCAUACUGGAUUAUUGGGUAGGAGUUGGAAUGUGUUGUGAUAGGAGGAGAGAUGAUACCAAGUUCCUUUGCUUUAUUGAUGAUGGAUUGAAGGAGAUCUGCUGCCAACACAAAAAGUAAUGGGGAUAGAGGAUCUCCUUGUCUUACUCCUCUUUUACAGGUGAACUGUCUACCAGGUACUCCAUUGAGUAGGAUUGAGGUGGAUGCAGUGGAGAGAAUUUCUUUGGUCCAAGAUAACCAAGUUUGAUCAAAACCUUUUGCUUGAAGGAUUUUUAGGAUAGCUUCAAGUUCUACUAGAUCAAAAGCCUUCUCAAAGUCUAUUUUUAUAAUUAUAAUUUCUUUCUUGCUCUGAUGGCACUGGUGGAUGUAUUCAAAACUCCAAGCCACACAGUCCUGAAUUGUUCGACCCUUAAUAAACCCAUAUUGAUUUUCAUGAAUCAGGUUCAGAAUAACUGUAUGCAAUCUGUUAGCCAUAAUCUUGGAGGUGAAUUUCAAAGCAAAGUUUUGCAAGGCAAUUGGUCUGUAGUCAUUAGGGCUUUCUGGGCUGGGCUUCUUUGGGACUAGAGUGAUGAAAGAAUUGUUUAAGUUUUGUAUUGAUGUUCGAUUACUGAAAAAGUGGUCUGCCAGAGCAUAGAAAUCUUCAGAAAUUAUGUGCCAGCAUUUCUGGAGGAAUAACCCGUUGAAACCAUCUGGUCCUGGAGCUCUGUCUGUUGGCAUGUGUUUAAUGACUUGGUCCAUUUCAUCUCUGGUUGGGAUAGCAGACAGGAGAUUCAAAUCAGGGACUUGCUGUAUUAGUUGAUUUAGGUCAAAAACAAAGUGAAUGGGCUUAGAGGUGCCCAUUCUGUCUUCGAAGGUAUUUAGCAGCACUUGAGCCUUUUCUUCAUGGGAAGAAACUAUUCUGUCAUCCACCUUUAAAUGUGAAAUUUUGUUUCACCUAUGUCUGUCUGUAGCUGCAGCUUGGAAGUACUUUGGGUUUUCAUCCCCAAACUUAACCCAUCUGAUUGUGUAUCUCUUUUUCCAGAAUUCAUUCUUAUAUUUCAGUAGUUCAAGAAUAUGAUCUUUUAGGAUGGCUCUGUAAUUCCAUUCCUGAAUGGCCAGCUCUUUGCUCCUCAAUAUUGUCCAACAUUAGUAGAAGUUCAUUGCAGUUUGAAAUAAGUGAGUGCAGGUUAGAUAGUCUCUUGCUCCAGAUUUUGAGGCCUCUUCUUACAUUUUUCAUCUUUCCAUUCAGACAGAUAGCUUUAUUAUUUCCUCUAACAGGAAUGUUCCAGAAAUAUGUGACUACAUCCAAAAAACCCGGCAUGUUUAUCCAGUAGUUUUCAAAUCUAAAAAUUUUAGAUUUGGGAACAGAGGUUUCAAUAGAGAUAUUACAUGGGGCAUGAUCUGAGAUAUAUUUUGCCAGAGCUGUGACAGAAGUAUGGGGAAAUUUCAGACUCCAAGCAGGGGAGGUAAAGACCUAGUCAAGUUGCUGUAACAGGGGCUGAUCUUGCAUAUUACUCCAGGUGUAAGACACUCCUUUUAGGGGGAUCUCAAUUAAACCAAUGUUACUAAUGAUUUCAUUGAAAAUGAGAAUUUCAUUCAUGUCCCCACCAGGUAAAUUUCUAUUUUGCACUGAACGAAUGAAAUUGAAAUCCCCCAUUAGAAUCCAGUUCUGAUCUAUGUCCAUUUCAAUGUUAUUUAGCCAGGUGACAAACUCAUCUCUCAAUUCCCCAGCACAAGGGCCAUAAAUAUUAGAUAAAAACCAGGUUUCAUGCAGAGAGGAGUUUCAGACAAACUGGACCGUGAUGGCAUAAGGUAGAUUUUCAAUCAAGGAUCCAGUUAAAAUGCUGCUGUUCCAGAUAAUAAUUAUUCCCCCUGAAGUUCCAUUAGAUGGAUGAAAGAUGAAUUUAUCAAAUCUUCUAGGGCAGAAUUUUCUGAUGUAUGAAUGAUCAAAAUGUUCUCGUUUUGUUUCUUGCAGGCAGAUUAUUGAGCAUGCAGAUUCUGAGAUCUUUUCAGAGAGGGCCAGCCAUUUUUGAGCUGAAUUUAUACCCCUGAUGUUCCAACACAAAAUGUUACAGUUUAUAUUAUUGUUAUAAUUCAUUUGACCAAAUUGAGAGGAAGCUGAUAUGGUUGCAGAUCAUAUUAGAUAUAAACCUUGUGCGUUUUACGCUUUGCAUUUUUCCGUUUUUCUGUUGCAUUGCAUGCGCGUGAGCUCCGGUUUGUGGACGCCGCGCGCGUAGGGGUCAUGGCGUUGGAAUAGCUGCGCGUGGCCGAGAUCAGCGGGGGCAUGCGCACGUCGCGAACUCGUGGGGAUGGACGCGAGCGAUCCGCGGCGUGGGCCGGUUCCAUAGCUGGAUUUUUCCUUUCUUGCAUCUUCGUUUUGCUAUAAAUAAGGAGAAGAAAACAGAAAAGCUGCAGGAAGUUUUACGAAGCGCCAACUCUCGUGUGUCUCUGCUCAUUUUCAGAUUAUCUACAGUGUCGCGUGCGUUGUAUUCGUCCGGUGUUCGUUCUCGCCCGCUCGCUGAUUCGUUGGGAUUUCCUGACAAUUGGUAUCAGAGCAAGGUUUAGGGCUUGGACGCAUGAUCGUGCUCUUGAAGUUGCACUCAUGCCUCGCCGUCGCUCGUCGUCCCUGACGAAGCGCACUCUAGGAGGUUCCGGCAGCCACGCCUCGGGCAGCGGCGGGAACGACCGCGGGUUGGUGAUUCACCGCGUGGUCAAGGAGGCGGGAGGCGCGGCGAACUACCCCGUGCUCACGAAGACAAACUACAACGAGUGGUCUUUACUGAUGAAGAUCAAGCUGCAAGCUCGAUGCUUGACUGCUUGUGGGGCACCAUUGAUCCGGGAGGGGUCGCAGUGGAGCUCCAUGAAGAUCGAAUGGCGUUGGACGCCAUUUGCAGCGCCGUCCCCGUCGAGAUGAUCUCGACGCUAGCGACCAAGGAGACGACGAAGGCAGCGUGGAACUGCAUCAAGACCAUGCGCGUAGGCAAGCCGAGUGCACAGAAGCUGCGCUCCGAGUACGAGGCUCUCGCGUUCCGCGACGGGGUGUCGGUCGAGGACAUCGCCAUGCGGCUCAACACCAUCGUGACGCAGCUGUCCACGUUGGGCGACCCUGAGCCGGACGACAAGGUUGUCGAGAAGUACCUUUGUGUCGCUCGGCCUAGGUUCUCACAACUCGCUCUUUCCAUGAAACAUUGCUCGACAUCUCCACUUUGUCCCUGGAGGAGGUCACUGGACGCCUCAAGGCGGCUGAGGACUCUGGCCAGUCGUCGUCCUCGUCCUUACCAGGUGGCAGCGGCAAGCUCUAUCUCACCGAAGAAGAGUGGCUUGAACGUCACAAGAAAAAGGAACAGGAGGCGAAGAAGGGCAAUGGCGGAGGCAACACCCGUGGCAAGCGCCGCGGCGGGCAAGGGUGCAAUGGUAGUGGUGGUGGCGACAACGCUAGCCCGGUGCGCAAGAAGGACAAGUGCCGUAAUUGUGGCAAACUUGGCCACUGGGCCAAAUAUUGCAGGAGCAAACCAAAGCAGGAGCAAGCGCACGUGGCCCAGGAGGAGGAUGAGCCCACGCUCAUGCUCAUGACGGGCGGCUGCAUUGAUGUGGUGGAGGAGACGGGCGCGCCGUGCGCGACACCGUCGCCGCCCGCAUUGCGGCCUCGCCCAGACGUCAUCGAGUUUGUGGAGCAGAAGGUGAUCGCCGCGCUGGACGACGCCACCGACCACGACAACAAGCGCUAGAUCCUCGACACCGACGCGUCGAACCACAUGACCGGCUCAACACCAACGUCACCGGCAAUGUCCGACUCGGGGAUGGCUCGCUCGUCCACAUCGGAGGGCGCGGCACCAUCCUAUUCGCCUGCAAGAAUGGUGAGCGCCGCAUGCUUCACAACGCCUAUGUUGGUAUUUCUUAACGACAUUACUAGAAAUAUAAUUCCCAGUAAUGGCGCAGAAACACUUCUAGUAUAUUAUGAUUACUGAGUUCAUCCGCAAGCGCACGGAUAUAGCAUUGUAGCAUUUCACCUGAGAGUAUUCCAAGGGUAUCGUAUUUAUUUUAUCCCGUGGGAAGAUCAUGUAGAGAAAACUCAACUAAUAACUUAUAUAUUACUUGUGAUAAUCAUAUUCUAAGCAGGGGUUAAGAUAAUCCAAGGGUAGAGUAACACAAGCAUUACUACUCAUCCUCAUAAUAAUUAAUCUAACCUAGGUGGAAAGAAAAGAGAAAGAGAAUCUAUUCCUAUACUUCUAAUAUACAUAGUAUACAUACAUUCUAGUUAACUGGUAUACUAGCUAAUACUCUCUAUCCGAUGCCUUCCUGGUACUUCAAGAAGCCACCCUUGACUGCCGAGUUCCUUACGACAGCCCGUCAUGACCAACCAACCGGGGCUAAAGUCGGAGGAAUACCCUCCCAAGGAAAUUAACUUAGGAUUAUUGUCACGCCCGGAAAUUCACUAGUAAUUUCCGAACUUAUUUGUGCAUAAAAUCCUCGUCCAGGAAUCAGCCGAGCUACACAAACUGACAAUUUAAUAUACAAAUCCAUCAUAAUAAUAACGUUACACACUUACAAAAGAAAAGAAAACAGCAGCGGAAUAACAGUCUAGCGAUGGCUUCAGCUCCACUCCCACAGGCAGCUCAACUGGGGUAUAAGCCAAACGUCUUCUCCUUCUGGAUCCUUUCUCUUCAACUGCGGUUAAUUGAUUAUUGCAAGAAUGAGCAUAUGACAUACUCAACAAGCCACACAGCAAAUAUGCAAGUGCACAAGGAUACCAAAGGAUGGCAUAAUAUAGGCUCAUUUGCAAAAGCAGCAUUUAGCAAAACAUUUAAGAGAAGUAAAACAGUGGAGUAAUUAAUCAACACUGAACAACACUGAACAACACACCCAUGCUGCACAGGCCCAACCAUCCUGAACAACCAUACCCGGCUGUACAGAUCUAACUCCAAACCAGGAGCUAAACAAAUUAUUACCAGUUAUAGCAUCAAUAAUUAUUGUGAGAGGUGUGAGACUAAUCACGAAAAACAUUGCUCAACCCGCCCAUAACCGCGGGCACGGCUAUUCGAAUAAUUUUACUCUGGCCAGAGGUGUACCACUGUACCCACAAGACACAGCCUCAACAUCAUGUCUACCAUGCGUCGCGAUACUGGAAAGUACCCGAAUAGAGGCUGUGACAAUACCCUCUGCACAACACAACUCACCACAGUGCACCAUUCCUGGAUCAUAAUCACCCCCUUAUAAAACAAGGCAUGGACUCCCCAGCGACCCCCCGUGGGCUUAUCUCCGCCACAUCUCAGUCUGGUGCUCCGCAAUGAACCAUGCUAUACAAAAUGUAAAGCCGUUGCCCACACUGGCUUGUGGUUGGCACGGUUAAUGUUUCACAAUAGUAGCUCGCGAACCGGUCCUUAAUUGUCAUGAGCACGACUCUCAAAACCAUGUGCUCACAACCCACCAUUAUCAAGUUUUAGUUGGCAAGUAAUUAAUUAACCAAUCACGAUUGACCAUCGUGAACUAUCAUUAAGCCAUCAUUAAAUAAUAGUGAGUCAUAAGUUAUCCCAAUAGUGUGCUAAUCUUUCUAAGCAUGGCUAAGCAAUCAUAUCUAAUAUCUAGCUGAACCGAUAUAUAAAGCUCAACUAGUCAAGUUAUAAUAACCCAAGGUAUCAAGGAAUAAAGUAAUCAAUGCAAACAGGCCAUAACAAAGGAAUAGAUUCACACCACCCAGUGACAUUUGAAAAUAAAUGCACAGUUGAAAUAAAUAGAGAAUUUAAAUAUAGGAUCAACAUGCUCAAAAGAUUGUGUUUAGGAUCUGUGUGACUUGCCUUACAAUAAUCGGUCUUCAAUUAAUCUUCUGAACACUCCCGACGCACUCACGAACCUUCGCAACGACGGAAACGACAAGCUAACACGCAAAACAAAGAAAAAGACUAAUAAAAACCAAAUAAACAGUACAUAUAAAGUAAACAAACAUGUAGAUCUCGAUUUUAGAUGAAUUUAGCAACUUGAACCACUCAAAACCGAGUUACGAUGAUUUAGUUAUGAAUUUCUGAAGAUUUAAUCUAUUAGAAAAACAGGAAAAAGAAAAACGAUGAUGACGUCAUGAUGACCUCAUCAAUGGCCGGACCAAGAUGGCGACCUCGCCGGAGAUUGGAUGGUCGGCUGCGACUUUGGAGGACAUGAACACGUAGAGGACGACGAGACGAACCCAACGGUACUCACCCUCGAACCAAACGACGAACGACGACGGCCGGCGACGAGGUCUAGCGGCGGCGCGGCUUCGGUCGUCGGCGGCGACGGGGCUCCGGUGACCGGCGACAGCGGGGAGAGAGCGGCCGAGCUUCUCCACCCUCUCGCGCACCUAACGGUGGUGACGGCGACCGGCGGCGACGACGGAGGCGGCGGCGCGACGCGGAUGGAGCUCGGCCGGCGACGACGGCGGGGUGGAGCACGUGGCGGCGGCGCUACGAGGCACGGGAGACCACGGGAGAGGGGGCAAACGAAAGAGGAGGACUAGGGGGUCCUAUUUAUAGCCUUGGAUUGAAGAGAUUGGACUCCUCCCGCAAGAAAUCGAUCCGGGAAAUCAAAAACUCGGUUUUGGAGAUAAACUCGAAAACGAGUUCGAUUCGGAUAAGAUACUCAACGAUUAGCUCCGAUUUUGGGGGUAAAGAUAGAGGAGGAUAAGAGGAAUAUUUUCCCUCAACUAAUUUUAGAAAUACACAAGGGGAAAGGUCAGAUUUGGAGGAGAAAAACCGAGCCAAAACGGUCUCAGUUCGGCUGCUAGAGGUAGAAGAUAAACAGUGUUGAGGGAGGCAAAUUAGACUUUUCGUCUUGGGCUGGCUGAAAACAAAGCAAAGAAAGAAAGAGGGAAGGGGGGAACUCGGCUGGGCCGACUUGGGCUGCACGGCCGUGCACACAAAAGAGGGAGAUGGGCCGGAAAGGGCCCAAGACUAGGAAGAGGAUUAUUAUUACUUUUCCAAUUAAAUUAAUCAAUGAAAUGAUCUUUGAAUUGUUAAAAAUACUUCCUAUGCUCAAAUAAUUCCAAGAAAAAUCUUGAACAUACUUGGACACCCAAAGUAUUUAAAAAUAUUAAAACCAGACCAUUUAAUGAUUAAUUUAAUAUGUGGGUAAUUACUGAAAUGCUCUUUGUAUGAUUAAAAAUUAGGAAUUGAGCUCCGAAAAAUCCGAUAAUAUUCCAGAGAGUAUAAUUAUCCAUGGAGAAUUUAAUAAAAAAUUAAAUCCAUUCAUGCUUUAUAUUUAGGAAAUUUUAUUUCCCACAUUUAACUUCACUUGUAAAUUAAUGAACAUUUAAUAUAAAUUCUAAUAAUAAUUUAUUAAAUAAUUUAUAAAUCCUGAUACAAAAAUCAGGAUGUGACAAUUAUAUAUAGACGCGGAGGAAUACCCGUACUGAGCUGUCACCAUUAGCGGCCCACCUCUCAUCCGCAAUAUAUAACCCCAAAUAAUGAUAUCCCGUAUUCUAGACACCAUGUCUAAACUACCAGAUACAACUCUAAUAUCAUCAAAGCAUAAGCAAACACUAUACCCACACCAAAACAUCUCCCAGAUAAGCUAGCCGUAUAUUCAGUAUAACCAGAACAUAAUGUAAAGUAGGUACUCAUAUACUCGGAAAGUAUUUCAAUACCAUAAAUGUAUUUAGAAGAGUAUUCUAAUAAAAGUACAAAGUUUACAAAAGAGGAAAGGAAAGCUACUAGAGCCAUACCCGAACUCUUCCGAAGACUUCCGGACUCCUUAUUCCUAUUCUAAUUCUAUUCCACCAACUAGAUACUACUAAACUAAACUUGAGAGGAAUGAGAGAGAUGGGGGUUCGGCCGAACCCCCUGGUUCGGCCGAACCAUGGGCUAGCCCAAACCAGCCCAUCCUCGGCUGACGACUUCCUCUAUUGCUUCACUCCGUAGACUUGUGAAUUUUGGUCCAAUUCAUUGUGUCAAUUCUGAGUUCUUGUCCCAUUCGUACAUAAGUCUGGUUCUCGACAUCGUCCGAUUGAUUUAUCGUUUGUGUUGAUGUCGAUUUUCCUCCACUUUAUUGUCAUUCUUUGCAAAAGGUUAGUAGACCUAGUACUAGUGGAAUAUUAUUAUUCUAACAAACAUAUGCAUUGCAAGCAUCACUAGUUCUUUCCUGUUUUAGUAAUAUUGACGGUCGAAACUGAUCGAUAACGACCGUCAACAAAACCCCCCAAGCUUGAACCUUUGCUCGUCCCGAGUGAAGGACGAAAGGAAACAAAGACUUGGUUGUUGAUCAGGAGUUGCUACUAUGCUGCGUAUCUCAAAAAUACAGGUGCAAGGUAUAUGUACUCUCUCUCAGAUUAAAUAAUCUUUGGCACGUUGGCUUACCCUUACCCCUGAUUCCCACGAGACACUGCUUCUCCUUGCCUUGGGCGGUUGAAAGACAGAACAACAAUUAGAGCACCAAUCACCCGAUCUUUAUUCAACUCUUAUUCCGGAAGUUUUCAAAUGAUUUCGGAAAAGAAAACCAAGUUCCUCAAAUGAUUCACUCAGUCUCUCUAAGUGUAUCAUUUUGAAUUCCUCACCAAAAGAUGCCUUUUUUAUUCCUACUCUAUGGUUUUGAUAUGUGGAGCUUGGUAGGGAUCAAACAUGGCAUACUUGCAUUCACAUUUGUUACUAAGUCAAAAACUUAGACUAAAGCAGAUAACUAAACAUACUCAAGAUCAAGAUCGUGCAUAAUGUGUGUGUGGUAUAUAGUGGAAAUGGUAUAUGAGGAAGAAAAAAAACAAAAUGCUUCUCCUUUGUGCUUUCUUUCUUCUCUCAAAAAUCCUUCUUUUAUUUAUUAGGAGAGGGCAUGGCUACAUUUCUCUCUCUUUUUUUUUCAAUAUCAUGCACAUGCUUGAUGGAGCAUAACUUUUUUUUUUCAUAACCAUGCCUUUCUCUCCUCUUUUUUUUCUUUUUUUUUCAAAAGGAUUUUCCUUUUCGGGAGAAGAAAGCACAUGAAAGCAUGGAGGAUUUAUUUUGGUGGAAAUAUGGAUAUGGAAUGGAAUAUUGCUUAGCUCCCAGUGUAGGAGUUUAGCAUGUGCAUAAAAGUGGGUGUAUGAUCUUGAUCAUAGAGCAUGAGAAGUAUCUGUACAAGUCACAAGAGUUUGACAAAGUUCAAUGGAAUGUCAAGUAACCAAAAUGUAUAUGGUUUAAUCAUGAUAACACAUUUUUGGCUCUGGUAGCAAUUUAUAUCAAAUGAGGAACUUUCAACAUCUGGAAUUCAAGCCAAAAUAGUAUCAGGAUCAUAGCAACUCAUAUUUACUAUCUCAUAUCUCGCGACAACCUAGACUUGAUCAGCAAGUGCAGCCCAUUUAUCUCAGGUUUCCGGAUAAUUGUUGGCUACUCAUAUUUAACCUUUAAGAGAGUAUUUACCAAGAACCCAUAUAUCAGAGAUAUAAAACAGAGCAACUAUUCAUCAUUUCAACAAAGAGAACUAGCUUGUCUUACCUAGCAUGAAUCAAACCUAUCCUAUCUUUUUAUUAUUUUCUAUUUUGCAAAUUUUUAUGUUGUUUUCAUUUUUUAUAGGAUGCAAUUGGAAAGCAAAUAUGCAAUUGGAAAGGGAAAUAUGCAAUGUGAUACAAGUUACCUCAGUGGGGGGAGCGUCGCUCCCCCCAAGCUUGGCUUUCGCUCAGGGUCCUUGAUAAGGAUUGAACCCCUGAAAGCGAAAGUAUGCCUGAAGGUCAUCAUGCUGUUGCUGCAUUAUGUUGUUGAUGUUGGUAAACUGAGCAUUAGCAGAUUGUUGCCAUUCUUGCGUUUGAGCUAUGUGUUUUGCGAGGUCAUGCUGGAUCUCCCCCGUCUGCACAUCAAGGGUGUUCAUCCUCCUAGUGAUUUCACCCAAGUCCCAACGAGUGGAACUCAAGCGCCAUUCACAUGGGGAUGGAGGCAUACCACUUGAUAUAGGAGGUUGAUUGUCCCCAGUGGAUGUCAUGAGGCGCAUGCCACCGGUCCUCACUGGCGCUUGACCGGGUUGAGACCCCGAUGAUAUGGCGUGGAGCUUGGGUCCAUCCAGGUGCAUCCCCAGUUGGUGCCCAACCUGCCUCAUACAUCUAUACGGGUGUCGAGGAUGAUGAACUUCCUUGUUCGUUCCUUGUCAUGUUGCGCGUCUCCCUGUAUGUUCCACAUGCACGAGAUUCUUCUAUGGUCUGCAGGGGAAUGGUUAGUUCAUGGCAGUUGUACAAAUGAUACCCCGCAUUUGGCAACGAGAUUUCAUUUGUACAACCGGGGAAAAAGUAUAUCAAAGAUCCAUCUGCUCCAUGUUUCAAAAUAUGCCCUUGCACUAGAUAGGCCUCAUCAAUACGCGGAUGAGCGGCUGAGAUAAAAGCAAUUUGGUCGCUAACGACCCCUAGCCCUUUUGCUAUCCAAGUAAUCAGACAAGUGCACUCAACAGGAGCAGAGAACUUUAUACUUUCUAACCAUUGUCUUAUCAUACAUUACACAGGAGAAAUUUUGAUCUUUCUAACCAUGGCAAACAUGAUAAUUAAUUCAUCUCCCCUAAUGGGUCUCAGAUCACUUCUAGGAAACAAAGUCAUAGCAAUCCAUUUGUGCAUGAGCCUAAGUGUAGGAUUAUGGAUAUCAUUCGUUCUAGGUUUCUUGCAAAUUGGAGCACUAGAAAUAUCUUCCCAAAACCUAUUUUUCUCGAACCCAGAAAUUCCUUUCUGGAGAUCAAUUUUACAGGAAUCGUAAAAACCAAGAAGUGUACUCAAGCCCUUCCAUGUGAGUGUUGUCACAUCCUGAUUUUUGUUUCAGGAUUUAUAAAUUAUUUAAUAAAUUAUUAUUAGAAGUUAUAUUAAAUGUUCAUUAAUUUACAAGUGAAGUUAAAUGUGGGAAAUAAAAUUUUCCUAAAUGUAAAGCAUGGAUGGAUUUAAUUUCUUAUUAAAUUCUCCAUGGUUAAUUAUACUCUCUGGAAUAUUCUCGGAUUUUUCGGAGCUCAAUUCCUAAUUUUAAUCAUACAAAGAGCAUUUCAGUAAUUACCCACAUAUUAAAUUAAUCAUUAAAUGGUCUAAUUAUAAUUUUGUUAAGUACUUUGAGUGUUCAAGUAUUUUCAGGAUUUUUCUUGAAAUUAUUUGAGCAUUGGAAGUAUUUUUAACAAUUCAAAGAUCAUUUAAGUGAUUAUUUUAAUUGGGAAAGUAAUAAAAUCCUCCUCCUCAGCUUGGGCCAUUUUCGGCCCAUUCCUUCCUUUCCUUCCUCUCUCUUCCGCCGGCCCAACCCGAGCCUGCAUCCUCUCUUCUUCUCUCAGCCAAAGUCCGGUUUUGCUCCCUCUUCUAAUCAGGCUGAGAAAAGAAAAUCCCGGCAAGAAGUCUACUUUCCCUCCCUGCGCUACUGUUCAUCUUCCAGCUCAGGCAGAGCCCGAGCCAGCCGUGCCGUGCACAGUGCCGCCGCCUCCUCCUUCCAAAUCUCGCCUCCCCGUUGCUCCUUUUUCCAAUUUAGUUGAGGGGAAAUAUUCCUCUUAUCCUCCUCUAUCUUUACCCCCAAAAAUCGGAGCAAAUCGUUGAGUAUCUUAUCCGAAUCGAACUCGUUUUAGAGUUUAUCUCCAAAACCGAGUUUUUGAUUUCCCGGAUCGAUUUCUUGCGGGAGGAGUCCGAUCUCUUCAAUCCAAGGCUAUAAAUAGGACCCCCUAGUCCUCCUCUUUCGUUUGCCCCCUCUCCCGUGAUUUCCCGUGCUCCGUAGCUCCGUCGCCACCGCCGCCUAGUCCGUCGCCGCCGCCGGCCGAGCUGCAGCCGCGCCGCCGCGCCGCCUUCGUCGUCGCCGCCGUUUGCCGUCGCCGCCCGUAGGUGCGCCAAGGGGUGGAGAAGCUCGGCCACCCUUCCUUUUCCGUCGCCGGUCACCGGAGCUCCGCCGCCCCGUGCAAGCCGAGCCGCCGCCGCCGCCCCUUCGUCGCCGGCCGUCGUCGUUCGUCGUUUGGCUCGAGGGUGAGUACCGUUGGGUUCGUUUCGUCGUUCUCCACGUGUACGUGUCCUCCAAAGUUCCGGCCGACCGCCCUAUCUCCGGCGAGGUCGCCAUCUUGGUUCGGCCAUGGAUGAGGUCAUCAUGAUGACAUCAUCGUUUUUUCUUUUUCCUGUUUUUCUAAUAGAUUAAAUCUUCGGAAAUUCAUAACUAAAUCAUCGUAACUCGGUUUUGAGUGGUUCAAGUUGCUAAAUUCAUCUAAAAUCAUGAUCUACAUGUUUGUUUACUUUAUAUGUACUGUUUAUUUGGUUUUUAUUAGUCUUUUUCUUCGUUUUGCGUGUUAGCUUGUCGUUUCCGUCGUUGCGAAGGUUCGUGAGUGCGUCAGGAGUGUUCAGAAGAUUAAUUGAAGACCGAUUAUUGCAAGGCAAGUCACACAGAUCCUAAACACAAUCCUUUGAGCAUGUUGAUCCUAUAUUUAAAUUCUCUAUUUAUUUCAACUGUGCAUUUAUUUUCGAAUGUCACCGGGUGGUGUGAACCUAUUCCUUUGUUAUGGACAAUUUGCAUUGAAUGCCCUAUUCCUUGAUACCUUGGGUAAUAAAUUGAUUAGCUUGAACCUUAUGUAUUGGUUUGGUUCAGCUAAAUGUUAUAUAUAUAAUUGCUUAGCAAUGCUUAGAAACAUUAGCUCACUAAUGGGAUGAAUCAUAUAUACUACAUUAUUAUUUAUGGUUUAAUGGUAGCUCACGAUGGUCAAUCGUGAUUGGUUAAUUAAUUACUUGCCAACUAAAACUUGAUAAUGGUGGGUUGUGGGCACAUGGUUUUGAGAGUCGUGCUCAUGACAAUUAAGGACCGGUUCGCGAGCUACUGUUGUGAAACAUUUAUCGUGCCAACCACAAGCCAGCGUGGGCAACGGCUUUAUCUUUUGUAUAGCAUGAUUCAAUAUAGUGCGCCAGACUGUGAAGUGGCGAGAAGUCCACGGGGGUCGCUGGGGAGUCCAUGCCUUGUUUAUAAGGGGGUGAUUAUGAUCCAGGAAAGGUGCGCUGUAAUGGAUUAUGUUGUGCAAGGGGUAUUGUCACAACUCCUUUCCGAGGUACCGUGGUGGUAUUGAGGCACAUGGUGACAUGAUGUGGGGUUGUGUCUUGUGGGUACAGUGGUACACCUCUGGCCAGAGUAAAACUAUUCGAAUAGCCGUGCCCGCGGUUAUGGGCGGGUUGAGCAAUGUUUUUCGUGAUUAGUCUCACACCUCUCACAAUAAUUCUGGAUGCUAUAACUGGUAAUAAUUUGUUUAGCUCCUGGUUUGGAGUUAGAUCCGUACAGCCGGGUAUGGUUGUUCAGGAUGGUUGGGCCUGUGCAGCAUGGGUGUGUUGUUCAGUGUUGACUAAAAUUUCUGAUUAAUUACUCCACUGUUUUACUUCUCUUAAAUGUUUUGCUAAAUGCUGCUUUUGCAAAUGAGCCUAUAUUAUGCCAUCCUUUGGUAUCCUUGUGCACUUGCAUAUUUGCUGUGUGGCUUGCUGAGUAUGUCAUAUGCUCACCUUGCAAUAAUCAAUCAACCUCAGUUGAAGAAAAAGGAUCCAGAAGGAGAAGACGUUUGGCUUAUACCCCAGUUGAGCUGCCUGUGGGAGUGGAGCCGGAGCUUCGCUAGAUUUUAUUUUCCGCUGCAGUUUUCUUCAUGGUGAGGACUAAGUGCCUCUUAAGUAAGUAUUUAUCGUUUUAGUUAAUUUGAUGAAUCUGUAUAUUAAAUUGUCAAUUUGUGUACCUCGGCUGAUUCCUGGACGAGGAUUUCAUGCACAAAUAAGUUCGGAAAUUACUAGUGAAUUUCCGGGUGUGACAAGUGUGAACUCCUUACGGAAAAAGUGAAAAGAAAUAUCAUCUUCUAUUUCUUUCAAAGUGCACAGAAAUUGCAAAGUAAGCAAACGAGAACCAGGCUUAUCUACCACAGCAAAUCUCUGCCAACCAACAGCUUUCCAAAUAGAACGAAAUUCAACAUCCAUACCUAUCUUUUUCAGCAAUUCCGGUGAGUAUUCUCGCGUGUGAGCAUACUCCCGGUCACUCAGCAUGUAGUAGGCUUGUCUCCCCCGAUCACUGACAUGGUCGAGGUCAACGUCGCUCAGGAGUUGUUGCGGAGCGUCGGCGUCUUCCAUCGAGGCAUCGGCUGAUGAAUGAGUAUUAGACUCGUCAUGACGACUUGAUGGAGAGCCCGACCCCUUGAACAGACGAGACAGUUGCCUCCUCAUACUACACAAUGGAACAAGAACAAGUCAACUCGGCGGGGGUUAGAAAUGACAAGAGUUUCACCCACCGGUUAGUUUCACCAAAGCAACUUGUACAUAUGCAACUAAAUGAUUUGAACUUGAGGAAAACUAUCAAAGCAUGAAUGAACUUGAGAACAAACUUUGGAGAGGGAAUGAAAAUGGGUUGAAAUGGGGUGGAAUUCCCUCUCUCGGCCGGCUGGCUUUUAUAGGGUGACCACAACGGUCGGAACUGACAUGUGGGAUCCACUAGCCGUUGCCUCAAAAAGUGAGGCAGCCGACCGUUGCCUGGCCGGUUAUGCUGAACUAGGGUGUUCGGCCGAACCCCUGGUGGGCCCAACCGGCCCCACUUUCGACCGUUGGAAUACAACGGUCAAUGUGGCCGUGGCAUAGUGAAUUUUUGUUGGAGAUUUUAUUUUGGUUUGCUCUGAAAAAUUCAAUUGAAGAACUUCCUCGAAAUUCAAAAGUCCUAAAUGCAAUUUUGAAAUUCAAAUAUGUGAUGAUGCAAAAAUUUAAAUUGUUGAAAACAAAUAUGCGGAUACAUACCAAUUUACCUGUUGGCGAAGGUCGCGUCAUUUAAAGUCCGACAUGCAAGACCGUACCUCCUUCUGAUUCAGUUCACGGAUUUUCCACCCGUCUCUGGAGGUGAUGGAGCGGGCGUCUUUGGCUUCUUCCUCCACACCUUCAUUGAUUUCGGUGCGGAAGACGGCUUCUUCUGAGCCGGCUGCUCUAACUUCUUAGCCGGUACAGGUGAUUUUACCGGUCUCCUCCAAUAACGGUUCCUGGGUAUUGUUGUUUCUUUCUCCUGGAAGUUCUGCAUAAACCUUACCAGGCUAUCUGUCUUGGGAGGCUCCACUUCGACCUCUUGAAUGUUCUGCGGGUUUGGCCCGUACUUGAUUCUGACCAUGGAGCAUUGUUCCGUCCUUGGUUGAAACUCAAACUUUUCCUCCUUCCCGUUGAUAUGGAAACUGAUACUCCCCGUUCCCACGUCAAUGUUGGCUCCUGCGGUGCUAAGGAACGGACGACCUAGGAUGAGUGGUGUCUCCUUCCCCGUGUCCAUGCCCAGUACCACGAAAUCAACUGGGAUAAAGAAAUCCCGUAUUUUGACUGGCACAUCCUCCGCUAUCCCCGCCAGGUAACGGACUGGCGAGUCAGCCAGUUAGAGGCGCAUCGGUGUUGGUGCCAACACCGUGAAGUUGAGCUUGUCAAAGACGUCUUUUGGCAUGACGCUGACGCUGGCUCCAAGGUUGCACAAGGCCUAGUCGAAUUGUUGUGCCCCGAUCGAGCAGGUGAUCGUAGGACACCCCGGAUCUUUCUUCUUCUCCUGGAGCUUGUGGAGUAUGUUCCAUCAGCUUGACCACCUCCGUUGUUGGGAGUGGUCUCUUGUUGUUGAGUAUGUCCUUGAGAUAACGGGCGUAUGUCAGCACUUGCAUAGCGUCCAACAACGGCACGUUGAUAUGGAUCCUUUGGAUCACUUCAACAAAACGAGCGAACUGCUCAUCCACUGACGGUUUCCUACUCCGUUGAGGAAAUGGCAGCAGCCUCGUGUCGCAGUACUCCUGCGGCACUGUCUUCUCUGGCUAAAUCUCCUUGCCAGCCGAGUCAGUAGAUGGCGUUUCUUUAGACAUCCUGUUAACGACCAAAUUUGGCAAUAUCAGCAUCGGAGAUGAAGAUUAGACCGAGGCGGAAUCAAAGACGAAGAUUGUUUUGGAAACAGAGUAAGAAUCGGCUGGAGUCCAAAUCGGCUACGACCAGGAUCAGCUGAGUCCGAAUCAGACUGGUUAAGCCGAUAUAGCCGAUUCCGAUAAUAUAACUUGUUAUACGUCAUUGGGUUGAGUUGGUAUGCUUCAAGAUAAUUGCCGUGCAUGGAUAGAGUCCUGAGAAGGCAAUUGUAUCUAUUAAUUAGGAUAUUUUAUGUAAUUUCCAUAGAGAUAUUUGUCGCGACCGAGAAAAUUUGCAUUUUCCCGAACGCUAGUGUAUUAAUCCCCGUCCCAGGAAAAGCCGGGGUACACCACACAAACAUGAUACAAAAGGCACAUCUUUAUUAUAUCGAUAAUAUUUAUAUUAUUACAAAGGCACUUAAGGCCUGACAAUCAAAAAUAAACAGCAGCGGACUAGCGGGCCUAUGGCUCCAUCUUCACAGGCGCUCAACUGGGGUAUAAGCCAGGACUCCACCUAAGACUUCUUGUCCAAAGCUUCUCUUACUGGAGGGGGGGGGGAAGAUUGAGCAAGAAUGAGUACAACCACAGUACUCAGCAAGUCACACCGGCAGAUGCAUGAUUGAUGCAAGGGGGUACAAGGGGUAAUAAUAUAGGGGUUAAGUUUUGCAGAAAACGGCAUUUAAAAGUCACUUAGUUGCCCAAAGCCAUUUUAUAAAGACGAUCCUAGAGCUACACAAUAUUAUUAAUCAAGGCCGUAAACCCUCACGAACCUGCCUUAACCCAAGGCCUACGAUGAUUAAGACCGAACUGGCAACCCGACCCUGGGUCCCAGCUCGUCCCAAGCCAACCCAGGCCAACCAUUCCACAUUUUAGUUGUUAAGCAAAUUUUAAGAAUUAAAACACUAACUUGGGUACAUUGCUAGGCUUGCCCAUAACCGAGGGCGCGGCUAUUCGAAUAGGUUAUACUCUGAUCAGAGGUGUACAUCUUUACCCACAAGACACAUCUUCCUCACGUGUAACCACGUGCCACAUACCACCACGGUAUAUGGACGGAAGACGUGACAUAGUUCCCAACCCAUCCUAGCCAUAAACAAGAGUACCGACCCAACCCCACCUACGGC